rnacentral:rRNA from 1 species
AGAGUUUGAUCAUGGCUCAGGACGAACGUUGGCGGCGCGCUUUAUGCAUGCAAGUCGAGGGAGAAGCGUUGGUUCCGCAAGGUUCCGACGUGGAAACCGGCGAACGGGUGCGUAACACGUGAGAAACCUGCCCCCCAGACCGGGAUAGCCCAGGGAAACUUGGAUUAAUACCGGAUACUCUCUUCGGACCGCAUGGUCCGUUGAGGAAAGGUCCGCUGCUGGGGGAUGGUCUCGCGGCCUAUCAGGUAGUUGGUGAGGUAACGGCUCACCAAGCCGAAGACGGGUAGCUGGUCUGAGAGGACGAUCAGCCACACUGGAACUGAGACACGGUCCAGACUCCUACGGGAGGCAGCAGCAGGGAAUAUUGCACAAUGGGCGAAAGCCUGAUGCAGCGACGCCGCGUGCGGGAUGAAGGCCUUCGGGUUGUAAACCGCUUUCAGGAGGGAAGAAACUGACGGUACCUCCAGAAGAAGCUCCGGCCAACUACGUGCCAGCAGCCGCGGUAAUACGUAGGGAGCGAACGUUGUCCGGAAUUAUUGGGCGUAAAGGGCUCGUAGGCGGUUCAGCAAGUCGGUCGUGAAAGCCCGGGGCUCAACCCCGGGACGCCGGUCGAAACUGCUGUGACUUGAGUUCGGUAGAGGUGAGUGGAAUUCUCGGUGUAGCGGUGGAAUGCGCAGAUAUCGAGAGGAACACCCGUAGCGAAGGCGGCUCACUGGGCCGAUACUGACGCUGAGGAGCGAAAGCGUGGGGAGCAAACAGGAUUAGAUACCCUGGUAGUCCACGCCGUAAACGAUGAACACUAGGUGUAGCGGAUUGAUUCAUGUCUGCUGUGCCGUAGCUAACGCAUUAAGUGUUCCGCCUGGGGAGUACGGCCGCAAGGCUAAAACUCAAAGGAAUUGACGGGGCCCCGCACAAGCGGCGGAGCAUGCGGCUUAAUUCGAUGCAACCCGAAGAACCUUACCUGGGUUUGACAUCAUGGGUCUAGCUGUGGAAACACAGUGUGCUUACGCGCCCAUGACAGGUGGUGCAUGGCUGUCGUC